GUCCCAGCCGCCGCGGUAAUACGUAGGGUGCGAGCGUUAAUCGGAAUUACUGGGCGUAAAGCGUGCGCAGGCGGAUUGUUAAGCAAGACGUGAAAUCCCCGGGCUUAACCUGGGAAUGGCGUUUUGAACUGGCAGUCUAGAGUGCGUCAGAGGGGGGUGGAAUUCCACGUGUAGCAGUGAAAUGCGUAGAGAUGUGGAGGAACACCGAUGGCGAAGGCAGCCCCCUGGGAUGACACUGACGCUCAUGUACGAAAGCGUGGGUAGCAAACAGGAUUAGAUACCCUGGUAGUCCACGCCCUAAACGAUGUCAACUGGUUGUUGGGGGAGUGAAAUCCCUUAGUAACGAAGCUAACGCGUGAAGUUGACCGCCUGGGGAGUACGGUCGCAAGAUUAAAACUCAAAGGAAUUGACGGGGACCCGCACAAGCGGUGGAUGAUGUGGAUUAAUUCGAUGCAACGCGAAAAACCUUACCUACCCUUGACAUGUCCGGAAUCCUGCAGAGAUGCGGGAGUGCCCGAAAGGGAAUCGGAACACAGGUGCUGCAUGGCUGUCGUCAGCUCGUGUCGUGAGAUGUUGGGUUAAGUCCCGCAACGAGCGCAACCCUUAUCAUUAGUUGCUACGCAAGGGCACUCUAAUGAGACUGCCGGUGACAAACCGGAGGAAGGUGGGGAUGACGUCAAGUCCUCAUGGCCCUUAUGGGUGGGGCUUCACACGUCAUACAAUGGUCGGUACAGAGGGUUGCCAAGCCGCGAGGUGGAGCCAAUCCCAGAAAGCCGAUCGUAGUCCGGAUUGUUCUCUGCAACUCGAGAGCAUGAAGUCGGAAUCGCUAGUAAUCGCGGAUCAGCAUGUCGCGGNGAAUACGUUCCCGGGUCUUGUACACACCGCCCGUCACACCAUGGG
rnacentral:rRNA from 1 species